AGGACGAUUUUCAGAGAUGGAUCUCUCCAGCAAUGGACCUGCACACAGGUGCUGCAUGGCUGUCGUCAGCUCGUGUCGUGAGAUGUGGGUUAAGUCCCGCAACGAGCGCAACCCUCGCCUUUAGUUGCCAUCAUUCAGUUGGGCACUCUAAAGGGACUGCCGGUGAUAAGCCGCGAGGAAGGUGGGGAUGACGUCAAGUCCUCAUGGCCCUUACGGGCUGGGCUACACACGUGCUACAAUGGCGGUGACAGUGGGAUGCAAAGGGGCGACCCCUCGCAAAUCUCAAAAAGCCGUCUCAGUUCGGAUUGUACUCUGCAACUCGAGUGCAUGAAGUUGGAAUCGCUAGUAAUCGUGGAUCAGCAUGCCACGGUGAAUACGUUCCCGGGCCUU
rnacentral:rRNA from 1 species